UUGAUGAUUCACUAGCAGCACAAUGAUUUCUCCUUUCAAAACUCAAGAUUUGCCCAUUUUUUGGUUUCUUUAGGGUAUUUGGGAAUUUGCUCUUGCACUGCUACAUUAUGUGAGCAAACUCUUGUUUAACCAUGGACUGCCAUUUGGCGAUGGUUAUGAUCUCAUCAUGUCAAGAAUUUAGAUGAGAAAGGAAAUUCAACUCGAUGUUGCUACAUGUUGGAGAUGCAAAAGGUGAAAUGGAACUGCAGCCCGAUGUGAUCGCUUAUAGUUAUUUGAUUUGUAGGUUUUUCAAUCAACUUAAAUCAUUGAAAGAAGACCUGCAGUUUUGUAUUUGAUAUGUAGUGACAUUCCAGGCAUAUGUUUCU